ACAGAAAAUUAAACUCUCAUAGAUAAGAGAAGCGAACUGGUGACCGUAAAGGCAACCCAUUGAAGUGUGGUGCGUCAGAGUGGGCAUCCUGUGGAUCCCGUCGACCUCAAAGAAAAAAAAAAGAGUUAACGAAGGUGACAUUUAUCCUGACCUUUACCUCAACUUGGACAUUCUCAGAGCCAACAGUACUUUCUCAACUUCCGCUGCUCCUAUUAAACUACCAAAGAAGACUCUCUCCUACAUUGCCAGGCUACAGUACCCUGUCUUUGAUAGAUGCUGCGGGUGCGAACGGCACAAUUGGACUUGAUGAAUACCCAAAACAGAGUUGUGGCCCUCUGACUGGGUUUCCAAUGUAUGGGCUGGAAGUUAUGAAGGAACUAAAGCAGAGAGCGAGACUGGUCGCCGUGGGGUGAUCUUGAGCAUAGAAUAGGACAGAACUAGACAGGCGUGGUUAGGUCAGAGGAAUAGCCAAGGUCAAAGCAUUGAAGUUACUAGAAGUGGUAUCAAGGGAGCAGGAGAAGAGAAGAGUCAGACAAAUUGGAUCAAACACUGAGCAUCACACUAGAAAUUCAGACUUAGAACAUGGAGCCCAGAACUCCAGGGAGGAGAUUUUAAACAGAGCGUCAUGUGCAUCCCUAUGGGAGCCACUCUGCACCAGCACCAAGAGCAGAGAGAGAUGCAGGCUGCCCCUGCAACAGCCAGGAAUGGAGAACUGACAGCAGAGGGGAAUGGACACCAGCACCCACCUGCUACAGCCACUCAGAGAGACCCAGCACCGCCCAGCCCGUUAAGAAAGAGCCGGGCUCAGACGCUGUGACAUACCCUACAUGUAUACAUCAAUAAAAUGUUUUUCAGCAUUCUAA